AGCAGCCGCGGUAAUUCCAGCUCCAAUAGCGUAUAUUAAAGUUGUUGCAGUUAAAAAGCUCGUAGUUGAAUUUCGGGACCAAUUUGUUGGUCGUGCCUCGGUACGUACUGGUACUAUUGGUUUCUCCCUUCUGAAGAACCUCGAUGCCAUUAAUUUGGUGUCGUGGGGAAUCAGGACUGUUACUUUGAAAAAUUAGAGUGUUUAAAGCAAGCAUACGCUUGAAUACAUUAGCAUGGAAUAAUGAAAUAGGACGUUUGAUUCUAUUUUGUUGGUUUCUAGGAUCGACGUAAUGAUUAAUAGGGAUAGUUGGGGGCAUUAGUAUUCAAUUGUCAGAGGUGAAAUUCUUGGAUUUAUUGAAGACUAACUACUGCGAAAGCAUUUGCCAAGGAUGUUUUCAUUAAUCAAGAACGAAAGUUAGGGGAUCGAAGACGAUCAGAUACCGUCGUAGUCUUAACCAUAAACUAUGCCGACUAGGGAUCGGAUGAUGUUAAUUUUUUAAUGU
rnacentral:misc_RNA from 1 species